AGACCUUGUUCCACAAUUAACAAUUCCAUUUGGGAAUAAUACAUACAUACAUAUAUAUAUAUGUAUUGCCAGGAGGUUCCCAUCACACAGAAGAGCCUUUGUGUAACUGCAUCCAGAAUGAUUACUCACAUAUGGUUUAGAAAGAGAGUAGAACUGACUUCAAAGAAAAUUAUUUCUCAAUUUUCCUAGGUUUGGGUAGCUAGGGAAAAGAGAUGGCAUACCACUGCAAGAUUACCAGGAAAGAUAUACUAGGUGCCUGUCUAAUGACUUUGUACUGAUUUGUGCUGAUUCAUUGUGAGAAUUUUGAUUACAUGAGUUGAUACAAUUUGAAAUUACAAUGAUUAAUAGCAAAAGUUACUUUUCAAAAACUAUCUACAACCCUUGCACUUCUGCCCAUGAAGUUCAGUUUCUAACCUCUCUACAGACGUCCUGCCUGUGUUGUUGCAAUUUACUUUCUCUGUUUCAGCAUUAUGUGAUCCAUAAUAUUCUCAGGUAUGAAUUCUGCUCUACAGUGUAAGCAAACUCCAGAUCCCCUACACAUGGGAGGAACAAGAAGAGGAAUCCUCUCCCAUGUGAAACAAUUUGAACUACUCGAGGAAUGAGGGAGUGCCAUUCAUUUUUACCUUGCACCAGAACUUCCUUGACAUUUUCCACAGAGAGGAUCUGUGUGAAUCAGUAUCUCCUUUUCUUCCUCCCCUGUGCCAAAUGGUUGUCUUUACUCAAGAUCAAAAGAAACAUCACUUUCUGUGGGAGAAAUACUGUGACAGCAUCAGCUGCAGUAGUUUUGCAGUCGCUGGUGCUGCAAUGAGAACAGACGCAACAGUGACGGGACAAUGCAGAACAGAUGUUAACCAUGGCACCAGGCUGUCAUGAGGCAGCAGCCAGAGAUGCCUUUCCCGUUAUGCUGAUGGCAUACAAUCAAGUCCAAUUGCCUUUUUGCUCUGAAGCCUUUUCUACAAAGAGCGAUGAAAGUGAAGCCUUACUGACACACACAGGAUGGCAGUGUGAUCACCAAAGUAGCUUGAAUCUAUUGGUACAGCAAAGAUUCUGGAAGAAAAAAAGUAUGUGAUAAUAUAACUAGCUAUAAAAGGCACAUUGCACUUAACACAAUAAAGCUGUGGCAGUUAUGGUAUGAGCUAGUUUU
rnacentral:lncRNA from 1 species